GUGGAGUUGUAGCUCAGUGGUAAAGCACUUGCCUAGCAUGUGUGAGGUACUGGGUUCAAUCCCCAGCACCACA
rnacentral:tRNA from 1 species